GAUGAACGCUGGCGGCGUGCCUAAUACAUGCAAGUCGAGCGAAUUGAUUAGAAGCUUGCUUCUAUGACGUUAGCGGCGGACGGGUGAGUAACACGUGGGCAACCUGCCUGUAAGACUGGGAUAACUUCGGGAAACCGAAGCUAAUACCGGAUAGGAUCUUCUCCCUCAUGGGAGAUGAUUGAAAGAUGGUUUCGGCUAUCACUUACAGAUGGGCCCGCGGUGCAUUAGCUAGUUGGUGAGGUAACGGCUCACCAAGGCAACGAUGCAUAGCCGACCUGAGAGGGUGAUCGGCCACACUGGGACUGAGACACGGCCCAGACUCCUACGGGAGGCAGCAGUAGGGAAUCUUCCGCAAUGGACGAAAGUCUGACGGAGCAACGCCGCGUGAGUGAUGAAGGCUUUCGGGUCGUAAAACUCUGUUGUUAGGGAAGAACAAGUACGAGAGUAACUGCUCGUACCUUGACGGUACCUAACCGGAAAGCCACGGCUAACUACGUGCCAGCCGCCGCAGUAAAAC
rnacentral:rRNA from 1 species